UACGUAGGGUGCGAGCGUUGUCCGGAAUUAUUGGGCGUAAAGAGCUCGUAGGCGGUGUGUCACGUCGGCCGUGAAAACCUGCAGCUUAACUGUGGGCGUGCGGUCGAUACGGGCAUCACUGGAGUUCGGCAGGGGAGACUGGAAUUCCUGGUGUAGCGGUGGAAUGCGCAGAUAUCAGGAAGAACACCCGUGGCGAAGGCGGCUCUCUGGAACGCAACUGACGCUGAGACGCGAAAGCGUGGGGAGCAAACAGG
rnacentral:rRNA from 1 species